CGCAUCACGUGAUUAAUUAUCGCACCUGAAUGAAAUGCAUUAUGCACAUGAAUGCAUAUAGACAGGAAUAUCAAAAACCCUAAAUAGUGUUGCGCGAUGGCGAAUUUAAACACCUAGCGGCGAGGCAUUGUACAAGUUUAUACGAUACUACUGGUUAUCGACCUAGUCAGCUAAUAAAAAUAGUGAAGUAGCUUACCUAAAUUCGACUUGGAAUUGCAGAAACGACGACGAUCACAUGUUUAAGAAGAUCGUCGAAUAUUUGACGAGCGCCACGCGAGAAUCGCUUCUUCACCCAAAUCUCGGGAUUUCUUGAUGGCACACAGAAUGACGACGCAAUCGUUUUUUGGAGCGAGCUGGAACCUGGGCACGCGCGCACAUAGGAGCAACGACGGCCAGAUGUCAGAGAGCCGAGCAAGACGCGACCCAACGAUCUGACGCGCGCGGCGUCGAGGAAGUUCCACGACUACGCCACGGCGAACGAUGUCGACAACAAGACCAGGGUGGCACAGAUCCAGAACUGUUGCACGCACGACACGACGACGAGGACCUAGGAUGUGCGACACACGACACGCAGUCAGCCUAUCGCACAACCGAGCGAUGACGACGAACAGAGAGCUUCACACGCGGCCAACAGAUAGCUUGCGCGCAGGGACUUCACGGCGCAUGGCGCUGGGCGCGUAAGGAGCAGGACGCACACCGGCGAGCUGAGCGACGGCAAGAAGCUCAACGCAUGGCACCAGAGAGCUGGAACAGACAAGCUGCAGACCACGACGCUGGAGGAACCUCAUGGUGCGCAAACACCAGAGAACUCGACGGCGACGCAUGUGCAAGGAGACACGCGCGCGUAGGAAAAUCCACGACGCGGCGGUCAGGGAGCUCGACCGGCGGUCUGCAGCCGAGCGCACGCAGCAGCCAUGGGAGGAAGAACGGCUAGGCACCGGCCAACAGGGGAGCUCGGCUGGAGAGCAGCGAGCAGGAACAAUCGGCCAUGGAUUGGGCGCCUGGCGAGCAGACAGAGGGAGGAAGCGAGGGCGCUUGGGGGAGGAGAGUGACUGCGCGCGCAGGAAGCUCUGCUGGAGGAGACGGACCACAUCUGGGCACCAGAGACGAGCGGCUGGGCGAACAGGGAGGGUGGUCGAGCGCCAUGGGAACAGGGGCUGGGCGCCGAGCGGAAGGGAGCCGGAGCGCGGCUGGAGGGAGAAGACUAGGGGUGAGCCAGGGAGCCGAGCAUCGGCCAGGGGCACGCAGCGAGAAAUGAGAGGCCACGACAAAGGGAAGAGAUCUAGGCGAUGGAUAUCUCUGCAGGAAUUGAGCGGCGGAAGAAAAAUCUCCACGCCCGCCCGCGGCAGUGAGCGGUGGGAGGAUGAGGAUCGGCUGGAA
rnacentral:misc_RNA from 1 species